AAUGGUGCAAGACAGUAUACAGUUAUGCUGCUUAUUCUUGUUUAUGUAUUUGAUACUUGCAUUUAAUUAACCUCCCAACUUUUUCAGAAGGAAACCGCUGCUAUCCGAGCAGAAAACGUUGCUGUCCAAGCCCAAAUAGCUGCUCUCCAAGCCGAAAAUGACAGGCUUCGAGCUGAAAGACAGAAAUUUCGAGAUGAAUUUUGGAGCUACUUCAAGGACUGUGUGGGAUUUGACAUGCUGGGAACAGAUGAGCUUGAUCAACUCAUGGAGAGUUGGUUGAAAAAUGAGAUCACUAGAUUGAAGGAUGAAAACAAUGCUCCCCGACAACUUAUAUAUGAUAAUCGAAUAAACUGUGCAUGUGGAUGCGAGGAUGGGGGAGAAGACUCAGAGGAUGACAAUGGCGGCCAUUAGGCUGAUUGUUUGUUUUGUUAUCUUUUGAACUAUUGUUUGGGUUGAAUGUUAGAAUAAAUUGAUAUGGGUCGUUUGAUCGAUCUUGGUUUGGAUUUUUAUAUAUAUGGAUUGGUUUGAAUUAUGUCUGUGGAUUGUUUAUGUUAUGGAAUUUGUGUGUUGGCUGUUGGUCAAUUUGUUUUUAUGGUUAAUGUUUAUGUAUGUGUGUUGUUGAUUAAUAUCACCUGUGCUGGAUUGUUAUUGGAUAAAGUAGAACCCCUACUAUAGAGAUAUGCCACUAGGAAGUAGGGUCAUUAAAGCUUAAUUCAUGCUAUUAUAAGUUGAUUAUGUAUCUCAAGAUUAGUUGUUUAAGACAUUUGCAAAACCAAUUAAUGGUGGCAUAUUCAAUAUCAACCCAAGGACAGAGCUGCUGUUUUUAAAGGUGUCGUGUUUUAAAAUCAUGGUUUUCACAUGAACUACUUUUAUGCAGGUAAAACACAGUAGUGUAUGGGCGGGGCAGAAACUUCAGCUGUCAUGGGAACUGUCCACACUUGCUCAGAGGCUCAAGCAGAUCAUGAACAUCUUAAGAGGAAUUUAGAUAUCUACUACCUACACAAAGAUGAGAAGAUGAGAGCUGCAGCCGAUGAGUCAUUGAAGCAUUUGUUUGAUGUCACUCACAUUGAUAACAUGAAAGUUCUCAGGGCGCUGAUUUAUUCCAGGGAAGACACAAAAUUUUCCUCCCAAUCAUUUGACAUUGUUUCAUUGCUUAUGUGGUAUGUCCAAUCAUCCAAUUGUAUGCUAUUACAAUGCAUUUGAGAGUAGUAAUUCAAUCUCUGCAUAAUUUAAACCGGAUAACUAUUCUGGCUGGACCAUCAGCUCUUGUAGUUC